CCCGCUUGCCGGGCUGUCACCGUCUCAUCUGCAUAGGCGCCCGCCCAUUGGGCCGCCCACCCGCGCCUUAUCUGCAUGGCCACGCCCCCGGCGACCGAGCAACAGCCGCCUAUUGGCGAAUAAGCUUCCUGACGAAGACUCUCGGGCGUGCAACCGCACCGCCCAACACGACGCAUGCUCGCAACUGCCUACUCACUCCGCUCGCCACGCCCCCUCCGUGCAACUGCCUCGGGGCCCUGGCCACGCCCCACCACGCGUCACAAUGAAACAAGCCCGCCCUUGCUUCAAUGCCAUUGGUCUGUGCCUGGCCGGUCCUGCAGCAGGUUCCACCCUCUUGCGGGCGAGCUCUGGCUACCAUUGGACUGUCCGGCGCGAGGGGAAGGGUGAUCUAUAAAUAGAGAAUGGGUACACGUGACAGUUUGGCAGCUGCUCCUACCCCUCCACCCCGCCCAACCUUCAGCUUCUGAGGCUGCGCAGGGGGAGAAAAGGGUUAGGGGGUCGAGCCCUGACUUCGCCUCCUCUUCCAAGAAGCCUUCCUAGACACUCAGCUGUAAAACCAGACGGACGUCCUCCGAUAAAAUUGUUUCUACUUAGGGCCGGCUUCACCGGCUUGGAAUCCACUUAGAAGGGUCUUCGCGCUUGGUUGAAUGUUCUGCAAUUUCUGUCUUGAAAUUUUUAGUUUUUGAGCAAGGGGCCCCUUAUUUUCACUUUGCACUAGGCCAAAUAUGUAGCCGGUCUUGCUGCUAAGAGUCUAAGAUCGAUUGCAUUCCAAAUUCUGGAAUUAUAAGACCCUGGGUGGAAGAUUCUAUGCUUUGACCAGAAGAGAGUCUAAGCAGCUUUUGUCUCCCAGGUGCUAGGAGGAUGUGUGCUCAUCAUUCUUCCAUUCCAGGGGCCUUUGUUCUACGUUCUAAGGGGCUUUGUUCUCAGCCUUCUAUGAUGCUCUAUUCUCAACGUUCUCUGGUCCUAGGAGUCUGAGCCUGACAUUCGUUUCCAAGGCUUCCUGCUGUCUCUCCAGGCUCCGCAAGCAGGGCUGGGGCACCCUCAGGCGGCCAAUCUGUAUCACUACGCCGAGCCUGCCUCUACCAACUUCCAAGACCUAGCUCUAAUAUUCACACUCAUCUCUCAGACAGACCUUGGCUCCCUAAAAGCCAAGGCCCAGAAGAUCAUACAAGAAAUUCCCUCUUUUAUGAUUCCCCGUGCACGAAGUGACCUUCUGGUGGUGAGAUGGAGAGAAAUUGAUAGUGGCGAUAGACAGCAAAGUCUCCAGGAGCCAGACUUCCUCGGGAAACUUGGGGCAUGUGUGGAGUGUGAGUGAGUGAGCUGCUGGAAUGAAUUGACCAGACAGGACAUCAUCUAUGUAUGGGAUUAGAAUGGAAUUACGGGAGAAAACCAAAUCCCUCAAAUUAGCAUUCAGGAUCGGAAAAAAAAGCUAUGUUGCCCAAACUGGACUCGAACUCCUGGACUCCAGCGAUCCUCCCACCUCAGCCGCUUAAGUAGCUGGGAAUACAGUCACCCGCCACCAUGCCCAGCUUUCAGGGAAGGUGCCGCUGAGGCUGACGUACAUGAUCACGCCCACUGACCACAUGUCCAGCGAGCGGUUGUAGCCCUGGUUGAGCAGCACCUCGGGCGCCAGGUAGGCCGGCGUGCCCACCACUGAGCGGCGGAACGACUUCUCGCCGAUGAUGCGAGCAAAGCCAAAGUCACACAGCUUCACCUGCAGAGGGCAAGGGAUGGAGGCUCCACCAGGUGAUGGAGCCGCACCCGCCCCAGCAUCCCCACCACACCACCCUCCAUGGUAUUCCAGAGAAAGCUGGAUGCUGGUUUGAAUCCAGGCUCCUCGGCUCACUAGCUGAGCAACCCUGGGCAGGUGACAUCCCCCCUCUGUGCCUCAGUUUCCCCAUCUAUAGGAAGAAGAGCAGAAGAGCACCUAUCUCAGAGGACUGCCAUGAUGGUUAGUGAAUUAAACCAUCCAAAGCCCACAGGACAAUAUUUGGCAUUCAGUUGGUGCACAAUAAAUGCUAGCUGCUGCUAUACCUCUGCCACCUCCAAUGGGUCGCUGUUUCCUCUUUUGAAUAAUGCAGAUUUUUAAAAAUAGCCUCAAAAUAUACAUGAUUGGGGCGUGGUGGCUCAUGCCUGCAAUCUCAGCACUUUGGG
rnacentral:lncRNA from 1 species